AUUGAACGCUGGCGGCAGGCCUAACACAUGCAAGUCGAGCGAGCGGCGGACGGGUGAGUAAUGUCUGGUAAACUGUCUGUUGGCUAGGGAUAACUACUGGAUACGGUAUCUAAUACCGCAUACCAUCGGAUUUGCCCAGAUGGGAUUAGCUAGUAGGUGGGGGAACGGCUCACCUAGGCGACGAUCCCGAGCUGGUCUGAGAGGAUGACCAGCCACACUGGAACUGAGACACGGUCCAGACUCCUACGGGAGGCAGCAGUGGGGAAUAUUGCACAAUGGGCGCAAGCCUGAUGCAGCCAUGCCGCGUGUAUGAAGAAGGCCUUCGGGUUGUAAAGUACUUUCAGCGGGGAGGCGUUACCCGCAGAAGAAGCACCGGCUAACUCCGUGCCAGCAGCCGCGGUAAUUC
rnacentral:rRNA from 1 species